UUUUGCCUUUGGUUUCUAGGACUCAUAGAGAAAUGACAGACCCUUCCUGCUGCAUUUAAUUGGAGAGGAGCACAGAGACCUGAGUUUAUAAUUAUGACGUCUUAAAUGUCAAGCCCUUCAGAAGUCUGCUGUUGCGCUCACUGUCACCCUGAACAGCCCUGGGAACCAAAACCCUGCAGCCACCUAGAGCAUGACCUGAGUCUCUCAGGCAGGUUUCACCUGGCAAAUCUGAGUGACAGUGACGUGCAGGCAGCUGGAAGACGCACAGUAAACCGAGGAGCCUGUGAUGAGCUCAGAGGAGGAGUUCAUUAAUGAAGCCCCUGUGUGCAGAUGUGCCAAAUGUGAGGACUCCACCACUCAGGCCAAAGGUCAGGGAGGCUCCUGGGACUGAGAGAUGAACCCGCUGCCUGUGGAUGCAGCCUCCCUCCCCACUAAGGAAACAGCAGAGGCAAACAUCCAAGCUUGCCUGAUGGAGGAACUAGAAGAAAGAUUCUAUCCUUAAUGUACUUAAAUACUGAUUUAUAGGUUGGUUAAUGGAGACAGAAGAAUACUAAGUGUUGGGAGCUGUUACCAGUCAAGGACCCACCCAUGAGCAUGGAAGCCAGAGCAUAUCUGGACCAUCAUGUAAGUCAGGAGGAAGACACGAUUCAAUUGACAAAAAUUUGUGUACCCGCCUCAGAAGUGCAUUAUGAUGCAAGAAAUGGUUUGGCAGUGACUCUCUCCUUUCAGCUGCAAGCCAUCAAGGGCUGAAUGCCUCUCCAGUUGCCAGGGGAGGAAUGGCUUGUAGAGCGGAUGUUCCCAGUCUGGCAGAAUCUUCUACCAAGUGUUCCCUGAGUUGGGCUGCCAGGGGACAGGUGUUGAACAGUGAGGAAGUCCUCUCACCCGAGCAGCUUCUGAUGCAAGAGGGGUGUUGUGGGUGUCUGGAACCCUAGGCCUGUGGGUGGAGCAUGAACUUAGCCUCUUCCCUGAGAGUAGGCAGUAUGUCAUAACCACCUCUGGUUGCCCAUGGCUGGUUUGGGGCAAUAUGCCAAGAUGUAGCUUUGCCUAUUUGGUUUGCUUUUUCCUUAUAAAUUUACAAAAGUU